GCCCUGCAGAAGAGGGAUCUGCUGGAGUGCUACAGCAUGAUCUCAGCUCACUGCAAUCUCUGCUUCCUGGGUUCACACAAUUCUUCUGCCUCCACCUCCCAAGUAGCUGGGACCACAGGUACACACCACCACACCCAGCUAAUUCUUUGUAUUUUUAGUAGAGACAGAGUUUCACUAUGUUGGUCAGACUGGCCUUGAACUCCUGACCUCGUGAUCUGCCCGCCUCGGCCUCCCAAAGUGCUGAGAUUACAGGGAUGAGCCACCGUGC
rnacentral:lncRNA from 10 species